rnacentral:rRNA from 1 species
GAUGAACGCUAGCGGGAGGCCUAACACAUGCAAGCCGAGCGGUAUUGUUUCUUCGGAAAUGAGAGAGCGGCGUACGGGUGCGUAACACGUGUGCAACCUGCCUUUAUCUGGGGGAUAGCCUUUCGAAAGGAAGAUUAAUACUCCAUAAUAUAUUGAACGGCAUCGUUUAAUAUUGAAAGCUCCGGCGGAUAGAGAUGGGCACGCGCAAGAUUGGCUAGUUGGUGAGGUAACGGCUAACCAAGGCGAUGAUCUUUAGGGGGCCUGAGAGGGUGAUCCCCCACACUGGUACUGAGACACGGACCAGACUCCUACGGGAGGCAGCAGUGAGGAAUAUUGGUCAAUGGGUGCAAGCCUGAACCAGCCAUCCCGCGUGAAGGACGACUGCCCUAUGGGUUGUAAACUUCUUUUGUAUAGGGAUAAACCCACCCUCGAGAGGGUAGCUGAAGGUACUAUACGAAUAAGCACCGGCUAACUCCGUGCCAGCCGCCGCCGUAAAAC